rnacentral:rRNA from 1 species
UGGGGGAUAUUGCACAAUGGGCGAAAGCCUGAUGCAGCGACGCCGCGUGGGGGAUGAAGGCCUUCGGGUUGUAAACUUCUUUUGCUCUGAACAAGGCAUGCCUUUGGGGUGUGUUGAGUGUAGGGGUUGAUUAGCGCCGGCUAACUACGUGCCAGCAGCCGCGGUAAUACGUAGGGCGCGAGCGUUGUCCGGAAUUAUUGGGCGUAAAGGGCUUGCAGGUGGCUGGUUGCGUCUGUCGUGAAAGCUCAUGGCUUAACUGUGGGUUUGCGGUGGGUACGGGCUGGCUUGAGUGCAGUAGGGGAGGCUGGAAUUCCUGGUGUAGCGGUGGAAUGCGCAGAUAUCAGGAGGAAUACCGGUGGCGAAGGCGGGUCUCUGGGCUGUUACUGACGCUGAGGAGCGAAAGCGUGGGGAGCGAACAGG